GACGAACGCUGGCGGCGUGCUUAACACAUGCAAGUCGAGCGGAGCGGCGAACGGGUGGGUUACGCGUGAGUAACUGCCCCCCUCUCUGGGGUAACAGUUGGAAACGGCUGCCAAUUCCGGAUAGUGGGGGAUGACUCGCGUCCUAUUCGGUUGUUGGUGGGGUAGGGGCCUACCAAGGCGGCGACGGGUAGCCGGCCUGAGAGGGGGACCGGCCACAUUGGGCUGGGAUACGGCCCAAACGCCUACGGGAGGCAGCAGUGGGGAAUAUUGCACAAUGGGGGAAACCCUGAUGCAGCAACGCGCGUGCGGGAUGACGGCCUUCGGGUUGUAAACCGCUUUCAGCCAUGACGCGGUAGUGGCAGAAGAAGCACCGGCUAACUACGUGCCAGCAGCCGCGGUAAUUC
rnacentral:rRNA from 1 species